rnacentral:sRNA from 1 species
CUUUUUGUGUGUUUUAAAUAAUUAUUCCGUUACAAAUAAUGGACAAACGAAAAAAAAUCAUAGAUAUAUGUAGCCGUAUCUGUAUGUUGUUGACAGAAGAAAAAAACAAAAAAUGAAAUAU